GACGAACGCUGGCGGCGUGCUUAACACAUGCAAGUCGAACGGAAAGGCCCGGCUUUUGUGGGGUGCUCGAGUGGCGAACGGGUGAGUAACACGUGAGUAACCUGCCCUUGACUUUGGGAUAACUUCAGGAAACUGGGGCUAAUACCGGAUAGGAGCUCCUGCUGCAUGGGGGGGGUUGGAAAGUUUCGGCGGUUGGGGAUGGACUCGCAGCUUAUCAGCUGGUUGGUGGGGUAGUGGCUUACCAAGGCUUUGACGGGUAGCCGGCCUGAGAGGGUGCCCGGCCACAUUGGGACUGAGGUACGGCCCAGAAUCCUACGGGCGGCAGCGGUGGGGAAUAUUGCACAAUGGGCGGACGCCUGAUGCAGCAACGCCGCGUGCGGGAUGCCGGCCUUCGGGUUGUAAACCGCUUUCGCCUGUGACGAAGCGUGAGUGACGGUAAUGGGUAAAGAAGCCCCGGCUAACUACGUU
rnacentral:rRNA from 1 species